AGCUUUGCACAGUGGCAGUAUCAUAGCCAAUGAGGUUUAUCCAAGGCAUGAUUAUUGCUAAUUGAAAGCUCUCUUAAAAAUUCCUGACAUCACUUAUUGUG
rnacentral:snRNA from 1 species